UGGGGAAUAUUGCACAAUGGGCGAAAGCCUGAUGCAGCAACGCCGCGUGAAGGAAGAAGGCCUUCGGGUCGUAAACUUCUGUCCUAGGGGAAGAAGAACUGACGGUACCCAAGGAGGAAGCCCCGGCUAACUACGUGCCAGCAGCCGCGGUAAUACGUAGGGGGCAAGCGUUAUCCGGAAUUAUUGGGCGUAAAGAGUACGUAGGUGGCAACUUAAGCGCAGGGUUUAAGGCAAUGGCUUAACCAUUGUUCGCCCUGCGAACUGGGAUGCUUGAGUGCAGGAGAGGAAAGCGGAAUUCCUAGUGUAGCGGUGAAAUGCGUAGAUAUUAGGAGGAACACCAGUGGCGAAGGCGGCUUUCUGGACUGUAACUGACACUGAGGUACGAAAGCGUGGGGAGCAAACAGG
rnacentral:rRNA from 1 species